rnacentral:sRNA from 1 species
CACACGCGAGGCUUGGGAUCGACAGGGAGAAAUCCUGCCGCUUCCGCCCGGUGGCAGUCCGAAAGGACUGCUGUUUGCUUCGCGGGGGUUCAACCGGAAAAGGAGAAAAAGG